CAAUUCUUGAGUUCAUAAACCAAUUUGUGUGAGGAAAACAAAAAUGGGUUCCAAGGCAAUUCUCCUCCUAUGCCUUUUAGCAGCAGUUCUGAUGAUUGCCUCAGAGGUGACAGCCAGGGAUUUGGCCGAAAAUAGUAAGCUUUCUUUUUUUUUUUCUUAAGGUGGCCGAAAAUAGUUAGUAAUCCAUUCAAGAACUUACUCUUUCCUUUAUCAACAAUUUUAUACCUGCAAAACAUAGACGUUUUUGCACAACAUGAAUUCCUCAAGACGGUUUUUUUCCUUCAAAAAAAAAUGUACUAACUAAAUAGCUCUGCAUGAUCCCGUGACUAUUUGCAGCCAAUGCAGCAGAGAAGAGUACUGAAGGCCUGGAAGAAUCCAAGUACGGUGGUGGCGGCGGUUGUCAUGGAUACGGUUGUGGUGGUGGUGGCGGCGGUUGUCAUGGAUACGGUUGUGGUGGUGGUGGCGGCGGCCAUUGUUAUGGAGGCCAUUGUGGUGGCGGCGGCGGCGGCGGCCAUUGUUACCAUGGUUGCUGUGGCCACGGCUAUGGAGGCUGCAGAUGCUGCACAUAUGCUGGUGAGCCAAAGGACGCUGGUUACACUGAGCCAGAAACCAAACCGCAAA
rnacentral:lncRNA from 1 species